rnacentral:tRNA from 1 species
GCACGGGUGGCGCAUUGUGUGAGCGCGUCGGUCUCUCACCGCUGUGGCCCAGGUUCGAAUCCUGGCCCAAACU